rnacentral:rRNA from 1 species
UACGUAGGGUGCGAGCGUUAAUCGGAAUUACUGGGCGUAAAGCGUGCGCAGGCGGUUUUGUAAGUCAGAUGUGAAAUCCCCGGGCUUAACCUGGGAAUGGCAUUUGGGACUGCAAGGCUCGAGUGCGGCAGAGGAGACUGGAAUUCCUGGUGUAGCAGUGAAAUGCGUAGAGAUCGGGAGGAACAUCAGUUGCGAAGGCGGCUCUCUGGACCAGCACUGACACUGAGGCACGAAAGCGUGGGGAGCAAACAGG